GGCCAUCAUUCGACUCUGUAAAAAUCUUUAGAAUAGGUUAAUUAGGCAGGGAAGGAAAAGGAAGAAGAGGGUGGUAAUGGGGCCAGGAGAGGUAGAAGGUAACCAAGGGUUGUAGAAGCUUGAGAGUGUAAGAGUUUGACUCAGGCUGGUGAGUAAAGGGUUAGAACACAGUGGUUGAGAAGGUCAGAGAGGUUGUAUGAGGACUGUACCUGUAAUGGCUGGUGGAGAACAAUUUUUUGGGCUUCAGAGAUAAGGAACGCAGCCAAUGCUAGGACCUGUAAGCAAAGAGGCUAGAAAGCCCAGCCUUUUAUCACAAGCACCAGACAAUUUGGACAAAUAAGCACCAGAAUGGAGGGAGUCCCCAGCUGAUUGUGCAAGUAGUCCUAAUGCUUGUCCUGUUUUGCUGGUUAAGCAUAGAAAGAAACGUCUAUUAGGGUUAGGUAGAGUCAAAGCAGGUGCCUUGAAAAAUACUCGCUUAAGGGCCCAGAAAGAAACAGUAAUUAAGUCUGUUUCUGGAACACUUUCUUGGGGAUCCCCAUAGGAGGCCUUAUAAAGGGGUUUUGCAGUGAGUGAGAAAUUUGGGAUCCAGAGUCUAAAAUAUCUAAGAAGCCCCAGGAAGGAAAGAAGAUCUUGCUUUCUGGUGGGUAAAGGGAGAUUAUCAAUAGCUUAGGUUUGGAAGGUGGGUAUGCAGCAAGUGGUAGGGUUGAGUUCAAUGCUAAGAUAGGUGACUUUUGCUGCGCCGGUUGAGCUUUGUUUUCUGAGACAUGGUAUUCCUUCUUCCCCAGGAAUCCAAGAAGGCAGAUAGUGUGGGAUAUAGAAUCAUUUUUUGAGGUGCUGCAAAGCAAGAUGUCAUCAACAUAUUGGAGCAGGAGGCUAGAGGUGAAGGUGAAAAGUUGUUGGGAAUCAGGGCUUAGAGAAAUAGUAAAGAAGACAUCUUUGAGGUUUAGGUUAUUUUCUUCUAUAGUCCCUGUGGCCUGGAUCUGCCCCCUGGCUGCAGAUGCUGCAUGAUGAUUGCUCUGAACUUCCUACCCAUUCAGCUAUAGAUUGCCUGUGGAAUUGGUGAGCUAUGGACUUAAUCUGCAUAGGACUUUGAACCUAGGAAGUGCCAAGAGCUUUGUGCACGACUUUGUGUCAGCAACAGGAGAAUCAGUGUGGCAGCUGAAGGAAUGUGGAAGCAAAUGCAGGAGUCCAAAGAUGUUUGCUGACUGAACCGUAUCACCCUGCCACACCUGACCGACCCGCGGUGUGCGCGGGACCGCUGCGACUAGUGGACCACCCACGAGCCAUCCCCUGGAGAUGGGAAGGGGCC